rnacentral:rRNA from 1 species
CCUACGGGAGGCAGCAGUGAGGAAUAUUGGUCAAUGGACGAGAGUCUGAACCAGCCAAGUAGCGUGAAGGAUGACUGCCCUAUGGGUGGUAAACUUCUUUUAUAUGGGAAUAAAAUGUUCCACGUGUGGGAUUUUGUAUGUACCAUAUGAAUAAGGAUCGGCUAACUCCGUGCCAGCAGCCGCGGUAAUACGGAGGAUCCGAGCGUUAUCCGGAUUUAUUGGGUUUAACGGGAGCGUAGGUGGAUUGUUAAGUCAGUUGUGAAAGUUUGCGGCUCAACCGUAAAAUUGCAGUUGAUACUGGCAGUCUUGAGUACAGUAGAGGUGGGUAGAAUUCGAGGUGUAGCGGUGAAAUGCGUAGAGAUCACGAAGAACUCCGAUGGCGAAGGCAGCUCACUGGACUGCGACUGACACUGAGGUGCGAAAGUGUGGGGAGCAAACAGGAUUAGAUACCCGAGUAGUC